AACUUUCAGCAACGGAUCUCUUGGCUCUCGCAUCGAUAAAGAACACAGCCAAAUGCGAUAAGUAAUGUGAAUUUCAGAAUUCAGUGAAUCAUCGAAUCUUUGAACGCACCUUGCGCUCCUUGGUAUUCCGAGGAGCAUGCCUGUAUGAGCGUCAUGAAAUUCUCAACAGCUUCAACUUUGGGGUUGAAGUGAAGUUGGAUUUUGGAGGAUAAUUGCUGGCGCAACUUGUGGGUUGCUUGUUGGCACCUCUUGAAUGAAUGAGCGCUUUCCAUGGUGAAGUAAUGCUGAUGUGAUAAUUAUCUACAUUGGAUGUGAACCACCUGUAAGGAAGAGUGUAUGUAACAUCUUGGGGAAAAUGCUCCUUGAGACUGAAUAAUCAAUUUGACCUCAAAUCAGGUAGGACUACCCGCUGAACUUAAGCAUAUCAAUAAGCGGAGCC
rnacentral:misc_RNA from 1 species